AACGAACGCUGGCGGCAUGCCUAACACAUGCCAGUCGAACGAGACCUUCGGGUCUAGUGGCGCACGGGUGCGUAACGCGUGGGAACCUGCCCUUAGGUUCGGAAUAACUCCCCGAAAGGGGUGCUAAUACCGGAUAAUGUCUUCGGACCAAAGAUUUAUCGCCUUUGGAUGGGCCCGCGUUGGAUUAGCUAGUUGGUAGGGUAAAAGCCUACCAAGGCGACGAUCCAUAGCUGGUCUGAGAGGAUGAUCAGCCACACUGGGACUGAGACACAGCCCAGACUCCUACGGGAGGCAGCAGUGGGGAAUAUUGGACAAUGGGCGAAAGCCUGAUCCAGCAAUGCCGCGUGAGUGAUGAAGGCCUUAGGGUUGUAAAGCUCUUUUACCCGGGAUGAUAAUGACAGUACCGGGAGAAUAAGCGCCGGCUAACUCCGUG
rnacentral:rRNA from 1 species